rnacentral:misc_RNA from 1 species
AACUGCGUAUAGCCUGAAUUGGUAAACUGAUUAUAAGCAAGAGCCAUUGAAACAGCACCACGCAUAAGACCAGCCCACCAAAUUGUUACCUGUUGCUUUAUGUCAAUUUUCUCAUUCUUAGUCAAGUUGGAUAGAAAGGAUAAGGGGAAAACAAAGGCUGCUCUUCCAACCAGAACCAAUCCCAAGAGUAUUGCACUCACGCCAACCGACAUCCCAGGGCUAUGGCUUACAAACUUCCAUUUCUCAAUGUCCAAGGCAUCCAUGCCAACGUACAGGAAAAUGAAUAUCUCAGCAACAAACGACAAAGUGGCAAAAGCAUGCUUAGUUGUCACUCUUGAACUUUCAGUCACAUUAUGCCAUGUAUAGUGAGACAUAACAAUCCCACAAAAGAAUACAGUGAGAAUUGCACUUAAAUAGAAUAGUUCAGCCAGCAUAUAUGAAAGGUAAGCCAUAAGAAUCAUUAGAGCAACCUCACGGUCAGUAGAGUGCCUGCCAAAGUAAAGCUUCUUAAUAAUGUAUGCACUGAGUAGUCCAGCUAAAACUCCCAAAAUGGUGCUUGAGAUAAACAGAUUUAGAAAGUUCCCAACAAAUUGCAUUGCGGCACUUGAAUUGAUGUGGGAGAGAUCAAAGCUCUGGAUUGCAUUGAAAAACACCACCGAUGUGGCAUCAUUUACCACACCUUCUCCAAAUACCAGACUGUAUAGUAAAGGCGUCUCAUCCUGAUUAAGCACCUGUAAGGUACAAACAGAAUCUGUGGCAGAGAAUAUUGCUCCAAUAGCAAGAUAG